GUCCCCAAACUUACUAGCCGAUCCACACAAGGUUCAAAUUACGUUUGUUUGUGGCUGCUAACAACUAUGCACAUGGCAUGUAGAUCUCAUAUGUCUCCCUCUAGGCUUUACUAGACCCAACAACUUAUAUGGAGAUAGCAUAUAUCUGUUAUAUGACCGGUGUCACGUAUGAAUGUCGGGCCCGACCCGGUGGCUAGGCUUGCCGACGCCCAGGGGCCUAGAUGCGCAGAUUGGGCACUAUUAGAUUUUUUAUUUUUUUAAUUAUAUGAUCUUGAUUGGCUUGUAAUAGAAGGGAUAAAUACCCCCUUGAUAGAUUGGAAUUAAGAAAGGAAGGCAACAUUUGUUGCCCGGCCUCAAGGGCCACCAACGUGACCUCCAUCUUCCUCACGUGCCCACCCACGCUCAGCAUCGUCGCCACCGCUCGCGACCACCACGGCUCUAGCUUCGCGUGUUCCUCGUCCUCGUCCCCCAGUCUCCUAUCCCUAUGCUCUUCAUAGCCGCGGUAAGAUCAAGUACCCUAUCAAUAGCGCUCUCCUUUCUUGCUGAAUGCAAACUCGCGCAAAAGGGACUUAGAUUGUGCACAUAGUUUCAAAAAAAAAGAAAAAAUUGCUAAAGGAUCUUGAUUGACUUGUAAUAGGAGGGAUAAAUACCCCUUUGAUAAUUGGAAUUAAGAAAGAAAGGCAAUAUUUGUUGCCUGGCCUCAUGGGCCACCAACGUGACCUCCAUCUCCCUCGUGUGCACAUCCACGCUCGUUGUCGCCGCCACGGUUCAUGGCCACCACGGCUCUAGCUCGCCGUGUUUCUCAUCCUCGUCCCCUGGUUCCUACGCUCUUUAUAGCCGCGGUGGGGUUAAGGAUUCUAUCAAUAGCGCUCUUCUAACUUUCU
rnacentral:lncRNA from 1 species